UACGUAGGAGACGAGCGUUGUCCGGAGUUACUGGGCGUAAAGGGUGCGCAGGUGGCGGCGCGCGUGGGGGGUGAAAUCGCCCGGCUUAACUGGGCGGGGGCCUUCCAGACGGCGUGGCUUGAGCAGCGGAGGGGGACGUGGAAUUCCGGGUGGAGCGGUGAAAUGCGUAGAGAUCCGGAGGAACACCAAUUGCGAAGGCAGCUCGCUGGGACGUGACUGACGCUGAGACGCGAAAGCGUGGGGAGCA
rnacentral:rRNA from 1 species